AUUGAACGCUGGCGGCAGGCCUAACACAUGCAAGUCGAACGAGUGGCGGACGGGUGAGUAAUGUCUGGGAAACUGCCCGAUGGAGGGGGAUCACCACUGGACACUGUAGCUAAUACCGCAUACCAUCGGAUGUGCCCAGAUGGGAUUAGCUUGUAGGUGGGGUAACGGCUCACCUAGGCGACGAUCCCUAGCUGGUCUGAGAGGAUGACCAGCCACACUGGAACUGAGACACGGUCCAGACUCCUACGGGAGGCAGCAGUGGGGAAUAUUGCACAAUGGGCGCAAGCCUGAUGCAGCCAUGCCGCGUGUAUGAAGAAGGCCUUCGGGUUGUAAAGUACUUUCAGCGGGGAGGCGUUACCCGCAGAAGAAGCACCGGCUAACUCCGUGCCAGCCGCCGCGGUAAUUC
rnacentral:rRNA from 1 species